GACUAGAGGUAGGUAGGGGAGAAUGGAAUUCCCGGUGUAGCGGUGAAAUGCGCAGAUAUCGGGAGGAACACCGGUGGCGAAGGCGGUUCUCUGGGCCUUACCUGACGCUGAGGAGCGAAAGCGUGGGGAGCGAACAGGAUUAGAUACCCUGGUAGUCCACGCCGUAAACGUUGGGCGCUAGGUGUGGGGUCCUUCCACGGAUUCCGUGCCGCAGCUAACGCAUUAAGCGCCCCGCCUGGGGAGUACGGCCGCAAGGCUAAAACUCAAAGGAAUUGACG
rnacentral:rRNA from 1 species